GGAGGAAGGCGGGACACCCUCUCCGUCCAGAGCGGGGGCUGCCCGGGACGUGACGUCCGUGAUUCACAGCCGCUCAGCCCUGGAGAGCCCAGCGCUCUGCCCCCUUCAGAAACCGCCUCUUCUCUGACAGCUGAGCCCUUCUCCGUGGCGGCCUAGGGCAGGAAGGCUUCUCUGCGAGCUGGACCCUGGUGCCCCGCAGCCAGGAUGAUGGAUGAGGAGGCAAGCACUGCUCAGGGCCGCCGAGGCCUGGGAGCUGAGCAGAGAGGGAAACAUGACGCAGAGCAACUCUGAAACAAGAGACACGCUCCGGGGCUGCACGGGGCCAGAGGAGAGAGAGCUGGGUCCCUCUCUCAGCUCUGCCUAUGGGCGUGGCUGCCCCACCAGCCAGGUCCUGCCCUCUGUGACACAGAGGCCCCAGGGAGGCUGAGGGCAGCUAGAAGGGGCAGGGGAAAAGCCAUGGGUUUGGGGAGCUUCGGGGUGCAGUGAAGAGCGGCUGGCCCAGCGGCCAAGCCCUCUUCUGUUCCAGUGCCCCUGCUCCGGACUCCUCCAGCUCCGACGCAGGCCCCCUUCCCACCCCGCUCCUCCAGGCAUGGAGCCUGUGGGGCCAGCAGCCAGCAGAGGGAAGGGCACGUCUCCGGCAGUCAGUCUCAUCAGGACUCCUCCCAGGGACCACGGCAGAACACAAGCGCAGCCCACAUCCCCUGCCCCAUGGCCUGCCUGGCGGGUUUCCCCCGAGAAGCUCAUUAUCCACAGGUGACAGUGCUGACUCUUCAUUUCUGUGGACCAACUUGCUGUGUGACUCACUGGCCAAGUCUCAGGACACAUUAGGAGCCACUGAAGCUACAGGGACCCAAAUACAUCCCUUCUUGGGAGUGGGAAGUGGGAACAGAGGCCUGAAGCCAAGGUGCCAGCAGCGCCAGCUAGCUUGGGCCUCCCACGUGCUGACGCCCAGGCCUGUCAGCUCCCUGCCCCCGCCAGGUGCUGGGAGGACUCGAAGAGGAAAGAAGAAAGGGAAACGGAGGACCAGGCAAGGACGGCGGCCGCCUCCAGGUGCCAGGGUCGGGCUGGCCCUGUGUGCUCUCUCAUUUCAUCCCGGCCUCCAAGCAGUCUGUCUGUUUCUGUUUUACAGAUAGGAAAACACUGAGGCUCAGAAGGGUGAUGACAUGCUUUGUCCUGUGGUCGGUGGGGUUCCAGCACCCCCUCCAAGCUGUGUCUGCCUAGGGAGGAAUUCUCCACAUGGGGGCUGAACGGCUGCACCUGGGAAUUCCAGCAGCAGCGGAGUGAUGGAGACUCCACAGGUGCCGGCCAGCAGCAGCCUGGGACCACAAGAGCCUCCCAAACAGUUACGGUCUCCUGGGCUCAAGCACUUGAUGGGCUUACAGCUCAUCGGGAGCCCUCAGUGCACAGAACAGGACUGAGCUGUGCAGAACUGACAUCCAUGAAGAUCUAGAAGAUUCUGCCACCAUCA